rnacentral:rRNA from 1 species
CCCUUAGAUGUCCUGGGCCGCACGCGCGUUACACUGAUGCAUUCAACGAGCUUAUAACCUUGGCCGAGAGGCCUGGGCAAUCUUGUUAACGUGCAUCGUGAUAGGGAUAGAUUAUUGAAAUUAUUAAUCUUGAACGAGGAAUUCCUAGUAAACGCAGAUCAUCAAUCUGCAUUGAUUACGUCCCUGCCCUUUGUACACACCGCCCGUCGCUACUACCGAUUGAAUGGUUUAGUGAGGCCUUCUGACUGGCGCCGCUACUCUGGCAACAGAGCGGCGGAUGCCGGGAAGUUGGUCAAACUUGAUCAUUUAGAGGAAGUAAAAGUCGUAACA